UACGAAGGGGGCUAGCGUUGCUCGGAAUUACUGGGCGUAAAGCGCACGUAGGCGGCUUGGUAUGUCGGGUGUGAAAUCCCCGGGCUCAACCUGGGAACUGCAUCCGAAACUGCCUUGCUAGAGUAUGGGAGAGGGAAGUGGAAUUUCCGGUGUAGCGGUGAAAUGCGUAGAUAUCGGAAGGAACAUCAGUGGCGAAGGCGACUUCCUGGACCAAUACUGACGCUCAGGUGCGAAAGCGUGGGGAGCAAACAGGG
rnacentral:rRNA from 1 species